AGGAAGCCAAGAAACUGAGAGACAUAAG
rnacentral:piRNA from 1 species